rnacentral:tRNA from 6 species
UGGGGGAUCGUCUAAUUGGCAGGACGCAUGACUCUGGAUCAUGUAGUGGUGGUUCGAGUCCACCUCCCCCAGCCA